ensembl:lncRNA LDC1P leucine decarboxylase 1, pseudogene
AUGUCACAUGCACUGGCUCUGCUAGCUUCCACCUGGGCUCCAACUGCCAGACCCCCCCAGAGCUUCACACAAGCUAUCGCUGACUGCCGGUGCAUGUUGGAAAUGGGCCACAGGGCUGGGCAUGAUAUGAGCUGCCUGGACAUUGGAGGGGGCUUCCCCGGAAUGGAGGGCUCCGGGCCCAAGUUUGAGGAGUUGGCGAGAGUGAUCAGUGCUGCCCUGGCCCAGGACCUCCCUGAGGAGCGUGGUGUCAAGGUCAUCGCAGAGCCUGGCUGCUUCUAUGUGGAGUCUGUCUGCAUGGCCGCUGUCAACAUCAUUGCCAAGAGGGCUGUGCUGGAGCCCGGAGGCAGCCGGAAGCUGGUGUAUUAUCUCAAAGAUGGCCACUAUGGCUCCUUCCGCCUCUGCUACCGAGAGCCUGUCCCAAGGGUUCCCAUCGUGGUGAAGGUAAGGGGGCCACUCCAGCCCCGAGUCUAGUCCCUUACCUUGAGGUGCCUUGUGCCUCCCCUACUGGGAACAGUGGCUGUGCUGGACCCCAGAGGCAGGUCCUGGCCUGCUGCUUAGAACACAUGUGGACACGUACAUGAUGUGUGCUCACAGAUCAGAGCGUGUGCAGCAGCUGGAUAUGUAGGCCUCCUCAGGCAAAGGGGCGAUCACCAGAACACAAAGGCGUGGGUUGUUUUCCAAAAUAUUGAAGUUCUUCUCCCUGGUGGCUUAAGAGCCAUUCCUUCUUCCUGGUGGUUAAAGAGCUAUUCCCCCGAGUCCACCAGGGGCCUCCCUGCCGACACUCUUGCUGCUCAGUCCCUCCCACGAUCUGGCAACAAAGCUUCAAUACCUGACCCUGUAGGGC